rnacentral:rRNA from 1 species
GAUGAACGCUCGCGGCAGGCCUAAUACAUGCAAGUCGGACGGGAUUCAGGAGCUUGCUUCUGAUGAGAGUGGCGCACGGGUGCGUAACACGUAUGUAACCUACCUUUAUCAGGGGGAUAGCCUCUCGAAAGAGAGAUUAAGCCCGCAUAAAAUCACAGCACAGCAUUGUGUAAUGAUCAAAUAUUUAUAGGAUAAAGAUGGGCAUGCGGAACAUUAGCUAGAUGGCGGGGUAACGGCCCACCAUGGCGACGAUGUUUAGGGGAUCUGAGAGGAUGGCCCCCCACACUGGGACUGAGACACGGACCAGACUCCUACGGGAGGCAGCAGUAAGGAAGAUUGGUCAAUGGGCGGAAGCCUGAACCAGCCAUGCCGCGUGCAGGAAGACGGCCCUACGGGUUGUAAACUGCUUUUAUACGGGAAGAAACCCAGAUACGGGUAUCUGGCUGAAUGUACUGGAAGAAUAAGGAUCGGCUAACUCCGUG